GAUGAACGCUGGCGGCGUGCCUAAUACAUGCAAGUCGAGCGAACGGACGAGAAGCUUGCUUCUCUGAUGUUAGCGGCGGACGGGUGAGUAACACGUGGAUAACCUACCUAUAAGACUGGGAUAACUUCGGGAAACCGGAGCUAAUACCGGAUAAUAUUUUGAACCGCAUGGUUCAAAAGUGAAAGACGGUCUUGCUGUCACUUAUAGAUGGAUCCGCGCUGCAUUAGCUAGUUGGUAAGGUAACGGCUUACCAAGGCAACGAUGCAUAGCCGACCUGAGAGGGUGAUCGGCCACACUGGAACUGAGACACGGUCCAGACGCCUACGGGAGGCAGCAGUAGGGAAUCUUCCGCAAUGGGCGAAAGCAUGACGGAGCAACGCCGCGUGAGUGAUGAAGGUCUUCGGAUCGUAAAACUCUGUUAUUAGGGAAGAAAAUAUGUGUAAGUAACUGUGCACAUCUUGACGGUACCUAAUCAGAAAGCCACGGCUAACUACGUG
rnacentral:rRNA from 1 species